CGAGUGGGAUAAAUGAUCGCGCCUGUCUGUCCGCAAGGUGGCAGGUGAGGAAAGUCCGGGCUUCACAGGGCAGGAUGCCGGAUAACGUCCGGUGGAGGCGACUCCAAGGAUAGUGCAACAGAAAUAAACCGCCG
rnacentral:RNase_P_RNA from 1 species